GUUAGGAUGGCAGAGCCUGGCAAUUGCAUAAGUCUUAAAACUUUACAAUCAGGUUCAACUCCUCUUGUUAACA
rnacentral:tRNA from 1 species